rnacentral:misc_RNA from 1 species
AGCUCUUGAACGAGAAUUGCUUGAAGAGGAAGGGAGUCUCUGAGCAGGAGGAAGAGAUAAAGAAGGAUUUGAGGAGUAGAGGGUUAUGUCUGGUUCCAGUGUCCUGCACCCUGCAAGUUGGGAGUGACAAUGGAGCCGAUUAUUGGGCUCCAGCGUUCGGUGGCGGUGGUUUCCGGUAGACGACCGGCAGUGGGUCGAAGAAUUUGGUAGGGCAAGUUACAGCAUAACCCUUCAAGACUAAAAAAGAGGUCAGAAAAUUAAAGAUGGAGAGAGCUUCAAUAUGAAACUGAUAUAACAUCAUGAGCAGUCAAUCUGCUAAGGAAA